CCUACGGGUGGCAGCAGUAAGGAAUAUUGGUCAAUGGACGCAAGUCUGAACCAGCCAUGCCGCGUGGAGGAUGAAGGCCCUUGGGUUGUAAACUUCUUUUAUUGGGGAAGCGGUACCCAUUGAAUAAGCACCGGCUAACUCCGUGCCAGCAGCCGCGGUAAUACGGAGGGUGCAAGCGUUAUCCGGAUUCACUGGGUUUAAAGGGUGCGUAGGUGGGCAGGUAAGUCAGUGGUGAAAUCUCUAAGCUUAACUUAGAAACUGCCGUUGAUACUAUCUGUCUUGAAUAUAGUGGAGGUGAGCGGAAUAUGUCAUGUAGCGGUGAAAUGCUUAGAUAUGACAUAGAACACCCAUUGCGAAGGCAGCUCGCUACGCUAUAUUGACACUGAUGCACGAAAGCGUGGGGAUCAAACAGGAUUAGAUACCCUUGUAGUC
rnacentral:rRNA from 1 species